rnacentral:lncRNA from 1 species
UCAUCACAAAAGAGAUGGUGUACGUACUCUCUUUCCCGCAGUUGGGCCCACAGACUUACAGCACGUUCAGGACGGGCUGCGGCUUCUGCUCUGCAUCACUUGCCCUUUCUGCUUCCCUCUUUAUUCUACUACCCGCUUGCUUGCUUCCGAAGACCUGGGGCUAGGACCACCGCCUUCUGGGGCUGGGCUUACGACCGUCUACACCGGGGGGGGGCGAGGGGUGUGUUCUCAACCCUGGUUGCACUGGACGAUCACCUGGGGGGGCUUUUCAACCUCACCUUGCCCAGGCUGCUCCCCAGGCUCAUUAAAUCACGACCCAGGAGCUCGGGGACCCAGUGGCUGUACUUUCAGAGCCCCCGCGGGGACUCCACUGGGUAACCACGUGGGGGGGGGGGGCAGGGUCGACACCCACCAGUGGCUUCACUGGUUAGGAGGCAGCUGCGAGUUAAAGAUCUGAGUUCCAUAAAGCCAUUAGACGGUGGACAAUUAUGGAACCUGGAAGGCUUUCACAAAGCAAACCUUGGCCAGCGCCCCGGAGCUGGCGGAGGAGAGCCACGCGGCUGCGGCCUGCAGAGAGGGAGCGGGCGGCAGGUCGCCCCGCCUCGGAGGCUUUGCUCCCAGUCGCCGGGUCACCGCGCCGGGCAGCGGGAGAGCGAGGCCGCAGCGCAGCGCCCGGAGCGGUGCUGCUCCCAACGGUGCAGCGCUUUGCAGGCGCUGGCGGAGCAACCACCGCAGACACCGAAGCCAUUAAGGAAACUGUGAAUUAAAGCGUCGUUGUUUCAAAGGCCAGAUCCUUCCCCAGGCCUAAGCUAUUCCUUGGAUACUUUGACAAGUCCUUUAUUAACUAAUCAUUUUGUAAUUGCCUCUGAUGUGCCAGGCUUGUGCUCAGGGCUGAGAAUGCAGUGCCCGAGGAGCUUCUGUCCUUGCCUCCAAGACCUCACUUGCCACUCUGAAUUUGCUAAUUCAGAUGCCCACAUUCCUAACUUCUCCCCCAGGAAAAAUCCUAAGGACCAAAUCCUAUCUGUUUUCUCAAAUGGCUUCAAAGACCCAUGUCAUCACCGGUGUUGUAGAAUUCUUUGCUGAUGUACUUUCAUCUGUGACUUUUGCUUUCUUCUUGUAACUGUCAGAGACACAGAGUGUGGGGGUGUCUUUCUCAUUAAAUCCUUUCCCACAAAACUCCAGGGUGUUUUCAGUGUUUAAGAAGAAACUAAAAGCUAUGGGCCUCGUUUAGAUGUGUGCAAAGGCUUGUGGGGAGAGGGAAACAAGGCACAGAGGACAACUUGGUAGGAAUUUAACUGCAAUUACCAUCUGCAAACUCCAAAAAAUAAGGUAGGGGCAGCCAAAUGUCCUGAUGGCCUUAAAGGUCUCCUUCAGGGGGGGAUCUGCAGAGGUGCAAGGCACAGUGGGGCCCCCUCUCCCUGCCCAAAAUGUCCAUGUCCUAAUGCCCAGAACCUGUGAAUAUGUUACUUUGCCAUGUAAUGAGUCCAUGGCCAAAGAGAUUCUGCAGGUGUGAUCAAGUGAAGGACCUUGAGGUGGAGAGACUGUCCUGGAUCAUCUGGGUGCGCCAGUGUCAUCACAAUGGUCCUUAUAAAGCAAAGAAGGC